rnacentral:lncRNA from 1 species
AUUUAGAAAAGCAUGUCACGAUCGUCAUCAGAUAAUUCUCUUUAUGAUCUGAAAACAGAAUUCUGCUGUACAAGUGUGUUCAAAGUGCCAGAUAGAAUUGUGUGUUCUUAGAGCUUCAAGCGGUUACGGAUUUAUUCAUUCACUAAUUUUUCACUCUGGUUCCUUUAUUCACUCCUUUAGAGGCAUGAACGAAGCUCCCGUUAAUGUGGAGAUGCUACGAGGUGCCAAAGAUCCAAAGAGGAACACGACGUGGCCCCUUUCCAGGGAGUUCACAGUCUAGCAGGGGAGACAGACACCUCAAUGUGUACUUAUGAGUCAGUGUGCUAUGCCAGCACUGAAGCCUGAGUGCACGAAUCCCGAGUCUGACCCCUGUCUACCCUGUCCCGACAUCUCUCAACCCAAACUGUUGGGUCAACUGCUUUCUUCGUCCCCCAGGCUGCUCUCUAGGUCUUCUAUCUAGAACUCCAGACUCCAGCCAGGACGGGAGCUCUGCUUGGUUCUUCCUAGUCUGUCUCCUAGGAGCGAGAUCUUGCCUCCUUCCCCAGCAAACGUACCUAGACCUUGUGUUCUCCGUUGGCCUUGACCCCACCACCACUUUGUUCCAAACGUUGCUGAACUCACAUCUGACUGGAUGUGGUCUUUGCGCGCUAGCUCUGGACUCCCUGACCACCCCCUUUUAGGACUGUUCUUGGCAUUUAGGUGGGUCUUCCCUCUCCUCAUUGUGGGUCCUUCCUCCUCUAUGCAGUGCCUCGUUUUAAGGUUUGCCAGCCCGUCUCAGGUGAAGGUAGACUCAAGACAGCCCCUCCCACUAGCUCUGCCAGAGUCCUGAACUAGGAUGAUCCUUGUGAAUGUCUCUUGUCAUAGAAACUUCCUUUGGAUACCCUUUAGAAGGAGAGAAUGCACUCUUGCUCCUGUCAGGGCUGGUCCGGACCUACAAAGGGGGUCAUGUCACUGGGCAGCCGAGGAAGACUGGUGAGACAGUUGAUUUCAUGCUCUGAUCUGCGACUGAUAUCAAAGGGUGUUUCACAGCCAGAAGGAGUAGAAGCCAGCCUUAAAAGGGGAAACAAGAUGAACAUCAAAUCCAUUUCGUUGAAUCCUCAUUGAAUCCAGAUGUUUGGCAAUGUGGAGACAAAACAUCCGACACUUCGCUAUUGUGUAGACUCAACCUUAGAAUAUACAAAAGAUCCAGUUUCACGAUCUCAACCGUGUCUCAUACUUCUUUGGCUGUUUGGUAUUAGCGGCUUUGGAAAAGAAAACGUGUCUAAGCAAAGUAGACCCAUGUAAACCUGAAUGAUUUGUCCAAGCAGUGACCUUUCUUUUCUUUUCUC